rnacentral:rRNA from 1 species
UUCCGGUUGAUCCCGCCGGAGGUCAUUGCUAGUGGAGUCCGAUUUAGCCAUGCUAGUUGCACGAGUUCAGGCUCGUAGCAGAUAGCUCAGUAACACGUGGCCAAACUACCCUACAGAGCGCGAUAACCUCGGGAAACUGAGGCUAAUAGCGCAUACGGCUCUCACGCUGGAACUGCGGAGAGCUCGAAACGCCCCGGCGCUGUAGGAUGUGGCUGCGGCCGAUUAGGUAGACGGUGGGGUAACGGCCCACCGUGCCAGUAAUCGGUACGGGUUGUGAGAGCAAGAGCCCGGAGACGGUAUCUGAGACAAGAUACCGGGCCCUACGGGGCGCAGCAGGCGCGAAACCUUUACACUGCACGCCAGUGCGAUAAGGGGACUCCAGGUGCGAGGGCAUAUAGUCCUCGCUUUUGUACACCGUAAGGUGAUGUACGAAUAAGUGCUGGGCAAGACCGGUGCCAGCCGCCGCGGUAAUACCGGCAGCACGAGUGAUGACCGCUAUUAUUGGGCCUAAAGCGUCCGUAGCUGGCCAGGCAAGUCCGUCGGGAAAUCUCCCCGCCCAACGGGGAGGCGUCCGGUGGAAACUGCCUGGCUUGGGACCGGAAGAUCCAGAGGGUACGUCCGGGGUAGGAGUGAAAUCCCGUAAUCCUGGACGGACCACCGGUGGCGAAAGCGCUCUGGAAAGACGGAUCCGACGGUGAGGGACGAAAGCUCGGGUCACGAACCGGAUUAGAUACCCGGGUAGUCCGAGCUGUAAACGAUGUCUGCUAGGUGUGCCACAGGCUACGAGCCUGUGGUGUGCCGUAGGGAAGCCGUGAAGCAGACCGCCUGGGAAGUACGUCCGCAAGGAUGAAACUUAAAGGAAUUGGCGGGGGAGCACUACAACCGGAGGAGCCUGCGGUUUAAUUGGAUUCAACGCCGGA